GUACCACCGAGGUGCAAGGGCUGUCGCUGACCUUUCAAAGGUCGUGCACGCCCGAGCGCUCUCGCCACAAUCCAUCUCACCCCUUUGUGCAUCACCGCGUGGGUCCCCCUUUGCGGGGAGGGCUCGCGUUUUCACACAAAACUUGAUACAGUCUAGAAUGUUUAUUUUUGCGGUAACACGCAAUCAAUACAACUUUCAACAACGGAUCUCUUGGCUCU
rnacentral:misc_RNA from 1 species